CGGGGCAUAGCUCAAUCGGCAGAGCGCGUGGUUUGGGACCACGAGGUUCUCGGUUCGACCCCGAGUGCCCCGA
rnacentral:tRNA from 1 species